rfam:Schistosoma mansoni, Puerto Rico, WGS project CABG01000000 data, contig: 0150
AUCCAGCUGACGAGUCAUAAAUAGGACGAAAGGCAUGUCAAACUGGAU